AUUCAACGCUGGCGGCAUGCUUUACACAUGCAAGUCGAACGGCACCGCUGUCUUCUGUUUGGCGGCGAGAGGCGAACGGGCGAGUAAUGCAUCGGAACGUUCCCUGUCGUGGGGGAUUGCCCGGCGAUAGCAGAAUUAAUACCGCAUACGACUCGAGGGCGCAAGCUGGUGACCGAACGGCCUCGCGCCAUUGCAGCGGCCGUUGUCGGAUUCGCUAGUUGGUGGGGUAAAGGCUUACCGAGGCUCCGAUCCUUAGCCGGUCUGAGAGGACGCCCCGCCACACUGGAACUGAGACCCGGCCCAGCCUCCAACGGGAGGCAGGAGUGGGGAAAUUUGUACGAUGACGGCCACCCUGCUCCAGGCCCGCCGCGGACGGGACGAAGGGCCUCUGGUUGUAGCCCUCUGUUGUUCGGGAAGAAAUCCUCUGGGCUACUACCCCGCGGGGAUGACAGUACCGGAGGAAUAAGCACCAGCUAACUGCGUU
rnacentral:rRNA from 1 species